CUAGCACUUUAACAGGCCCCACAUAUUGGGGCCAGGAUUGGUAGCUAGUGCUAAGAGAAAAUCCUUGAUUACAUUUUUGCCCUAGAACUGUUGCAGUGGCAGCUAACAUUCAAUGGGACACCA
ensembl:snoRNA